CUACGUGCCAGCAGCCGCGGUAAUACGGAAGGUCCAGGCGUUAUCCGGAUUUAUUGGGUUUAAAGGGAGCGUAGGCGGAUUGUUAAGUCAGCGGUUAAAGGGUGUGGCUCAACCAUACAUUGCCGUUGAAACUGGCGAUCUUGAGUGCAGACAGGGAUGCCGGAAUUCGUGGUGUAGCGGUGAAAUGCUUAGAUAUCACGAAGAACUCCGAUCGCGAAGGCAGGUGUCCGGGCUGCAACUGACGCUGAGGCUCGAAAGUGUGGGUAUCAAACAGGAUUAGAUACCCUGGUAGUCCACACAGCAAACGAUGUAUACUCGCGGUUUGCGAUAGACAGUAAGCCGCCAAGCGAAAGCAUUAAGUAUACCACCUGGGGAGUACGCCGGCAACGGUGAAACUCAAAGGAAUUGACGGGGGCCCGCACAAGCGGAGGAACAUGUGGUUUAAUUCGAUGAUACGCGAGGAACCUUACCCGGGCUUGAACUAACGGUGACGAAUCUAGAGAUAG
rnacentral:rRNA from 1 species